rnacentral:rRNA from 1 species
AUUGAACGCUGGCGGCAGGCUUAACACAUGCAAGUCGAACGAGUGGCGGACGGGUGAGUAAUGCUUGGGAAUCUAGCUUAUGGAGGGGGAUAACUACGGGAAACUGUAGCUAAUACCGCAUACCAUCAGAUGAACCCAUAUGGGAUUAGCUUGUAGGUGAGGUAACGGCUCACCUAGGCGACGAUCCCUAGCUGGUCUGAGAGGAUGAUCAGCCACACUGGGACUGAGACACGGCCCAGACUCCUACGGGAGGCAGCAGUGGGGAAUAUUGCACAAUGGGCGCAAGCCUGAUACAGCCAUGCCGCGUGUAUGAAGAAGGCCUUAGGGUUGUAAAGUACUUUCAGCGGGGAGGCGUUACCCGCAGAAGAAGCACCGGCUAACUCCGUGCCAGCAGCCGCGGUAAUUC